rnacentral:misc_RNA from 1 species
GAAAUGCGAUAAGUAAUGUGAAUUGCAGAAUUCAGUGAAUCGUCGAAUCUUUGAACGCACAUUGCGCCCGCCAGUAUUCUGGCGGGCAUGCCUGUUCGAGCGUCAUUUCAACCAUCAAGCCCCCGGCUUGUGUUGGGGACCUGCGGCUGCCCGCAGGCCCUGAAAAACAGUGGCGGGCUCGCUGUCACACCGAGCGUAGUAGCAUACAUUCUCGCUCAGGGCGUGCUGCGGGUUCCGGCCGUUAAACGACCUUCAUAACCCAAGGUUGACCUCGGAUCAGGUAGGAAGACCCGCUGAACUUAAGC